CAGCCGCCGCGGUAAUACGUAGGUGGCAAGCGUUGUCCGGAAUUAUUGGGCGUAAAGGGCCCGCAGGCGGUUUCUUAAGUCUGAUGUGAAAGCCCCCGGCUCAACCGGGGAGGGUCAUUGGAAACUGGGAAACUUGAGUGCAGAAGAGGAGAGUGGAAUUCCACGUGUAGCGGUGAAAUGCGUAGAGAUGUGGAGGAACACCAGUGGCGAAGGCGACUCUCUGGUCUGUAACUGACGCUGAGGAGCGAAAGCGUGGGGAGCGAACAGGAUUAGAGACCCGCGUAGUCCCUGUCUCUUAUAC
rnacentral:rRNA from 1 species